GGCGCUGUGGCUCAGUGGGUUAAAGUGCCUGUCUAGUAAACAGGAGAUCCUGGGUUCAAAUCCCGACAGUGCCU